rnacentral:misc_RNA from 1 species
UCCUCUUUACAGAGGCAGUUUGUUCCGUGUGCCCGACUUGACUCGCUGGUAACAGAACAUGAGGGUUGCGCUCGUUGCGGGACUUAACCCAACAUUUCACAACACGAGCUGACGACAGCCAUGCACCACCUGUGCACCACCCUCGAAGGAAACUCACUUUCAUGAGCGUGCAGGUGCAUGUCAAGCCCUGGUAAGGUUCUUCGCGUUGCAUCGAAUUAAGCCAUAUGCUCCACCGCUUGUGCGGGCCCCCGCCAAUUCCUUUGAGUUUCAACCUUGCGGCCGUAGUCCCCAGGCGGUUCACUUAAUGCGUUAGCUGCGGCACCGAGGGAGAACCCCCAACACCUAGUGAACAUCGUUUAUGGCCAAGACUAC